GAUGAACGCUAGCGGCAGGCCUAACACAUGCAAGUCGAGGGGUAACUAGAGUGAUAGCAAUAUUACUUUGGCUAGACCGGCGCACGGGUGCGUAACACGUAUGCAACCUACCUUAUACUGGGGAAUAACUUCGAGAAAUCGGCGCUAAUACCCCAUAACAUUGCGAAGAGGCAUCUCUUUGCAAUUAAAGCUCCAGCGGUAUAAGAUGGGCAUGCAUCCAAUUAGCUAGUUGGUGAGGUAACGGCUCACCAAGGCUACGAUUGGUAGGGGUUCUGAGAGGAUGAUCCCCCACACUGGUACUGAGACACGGACCAGACUCCUACGGGAGGCAGCAGUGAGGAAUAUUGCGCAAUGGACGAAAGUCUGACGCAGCCAUGCCGCGUGCAGGAUGACGGCCCUAUGGGUUGUAAACUGCUUUUGUACGGGAAUAAACCCUUCUACGUGUAGGAGGCUGAAGGUACCGUAAGAAUAAGCACCGGCUAACUCCGUGCCAGCCGCCGCAGUAACAC
rnacentral:rRNA from 1 species